rnacentral:rRNA from 1 species
GGACAACCUACCCUAUGGAGGGGGAUAACCCCGGGAAACUGGGGAUAAUACCCCAUAGACUAUGGAUGCUGGAAUGCUUUGUAGUUGAAAGGUCCGCCGCCAUAGGAUGGGUCUGCGGCCGAUUAGGUUGUUGUUGGGGUAACGGCCCAACAAGCCUGUAAUCGGUACGGGUUGUGGGAGCAAGAGCCCGGAGAUGGAUUCUGAGACACGAAUCCAGGCCCUACGGGGCGCAGCAGGCGCGAAAACUUUACAAUGCGGGAAACCGUGAUAAGGGAACUCCGAGUGCCCGUAAAAUCGGGCUGUCCAUCUGUGUAAAUAACAGGUGAAGAAAGGGCCGGGCAAGACCGGUGCCAGCCGCCGCGGUAAUACCGGCGGCUCGAGUGGUGGCCACUAUUACUGGGCUUAAAGCGUUCGUAGCUGGUCUGUUAAGUCUCUGGGGAAAUCUACUGGCUUAACCAAUAGGCGUCUCAGGGAUACUGGCAGACUAGGGACCGGGAGAGGUGAGAGGUACUCCAGGGGUAGGAGUGAAAUCCUGUAAUCCUUGGGGGACCACCUGUGGCGAAGGCGUCUCACCAGAACGGCUCCGACAGUGAGGGACGAAAGCUGGGGGAGCAAACCGGAUUAGAUACCCGGGUAGUCCCAGCCGUAAACGAUGCGCGUUAGGUGUAUCGGUGAC